rnacentral:sRNA from 1 species
GUCGUAUCGGUUAGAUUGGGAUACUCAUCAAAUUAAAUUGAAAACCGAGAUGACUUCUCUUGCCAAUGGCGGGCCACAUACCCAUCAGGGUAGCAGAAAUGCCGGUGGAUUACAAAAGCGGAGAGCUCUCAAAUCUUAUGUUAUAGGAGUUUUCAUCACAUCAUCGGUACGACCAUUUU